GUCAUCACACCAUACAGUGCUUAUCAGUUUGCUGAUGAGGGUGACAGUGUGACACUCUCUUGUAGCUACACUGGUUCUGUUCAAGGUCUUCACUGGUAUCGGCAAUAUGCAGGUUCACCACCACAGUUCCUCAUAAUGGAUUCCUAUGGGGCAGUUACAAAAGCUGAUCCUCCAGUUGCUGGAGUCUCAAUCCAUCACAGAAAAGACAACAGUAGUGUGGAUCUGAAGAUCUCCUCUGCUGCUGUCACUGACUCCACUCUGUACUACUGUGCUCUGGAGCCCACAGUGAAAGGAAAUCCACUGCAUGCUGUACAAAAAGCUGUUUGA